UCAGAGUUGGUGCACAUUUCCUGUGCUCUCUUCCCUGGCCGCAGCAACAGCCAGGAAAGAGAACAGCUCCCGUGUUGAGAAGGUGGCAUCGUCAGAUGGUACAGCACCCUUCGGAUUGGCAGCCAUCAGCACAUCCCUCUGCCGAAGAGCUGUCCAGAGGAUGUAACAUCAGUGAGAGACAAAUGCCUGUUGCCUCCAGCCACUGAGAUUCUGAGGUUGUUUGUUACCACAGCAUUACCUAACCUAUUCUAAUACAAGACAAGAUGUAUGCGGGACCCUUAGCAUGGCUCCGAUACAUAAUACCAGCCUGGAAGACAACGGAGCUGUCAUUCUGUUAAAAAAUUAAGAGAAGUACGCAGAACCUGCCUUUUUCUAAAUGAGAAGCUUUGGAAGCGACUGGACACUUUUGGCCAUUGCAGUCCACAGGUAGCCUCUCUGGGGGCAAUAGACAGACUUUUUCACUUCUUGUAUUUACUCCCCAAAUGCUUGAUUACAUAGCUUGUCACCUGUCAGGGGGGCCAGCUAGCUAGUUGCUGGGUUGAGUGGUUAAUCCAAUGAUUUGUAUAGCUGGCUCACUAAGGAAAUCAUAGGUACUCAAUAUAUAGCUACUGAACAAUUCAAUGAAUGAUUGAAUUAGUUAUCAUUUAACCUAUUGGCUGGGAAGUGCUGAAAGAAUUCAAACCCUCUUAAUAUGCUUCAAGUCCAGCCUGCACUCUCUACCUUCAGGGAUCCCUGCUGGGCCACUUGGCCCUUGCUCCUUUCUCCAGCAGAAAUCAUCCCCCCUGUACCCCUUUCUCCACUCCCACAUUCCCUUAUGGCCUGGUACAGACCACUGCUGUAUUAUCUGAGUCAUUAGCAUAGCCCUGAUGCCAUUUGUUUAUUUGUCUGACUUCCUCACUUGACUCUGAGCUCUCUGCAACAAGGUUUUGCAUGUUGUUCAAUUUAAAAAAUCUGCCUCUAAGGUUAUAAGCAGAGCCCAGGACAUAUCUAUUCAACAUGACAUUUCAUAGGGGUUCAGCAAAUGUUUGCAAACAAACAAAAAAGGAAUGCAGGACAAGGAUAUUUUGAGUACCAAUGAGCCAUCCAGCCCUGAGCUAGGUUCAGUCUCUGAAGGCAUGAAGAAGGAACCACAGGAGAAUUAACAUAACUCUCACCACGCUUCAUUGCAAUCCAUCGUUUACUUGUUUCUUUUCAC
rnacentral:lncRNA from 10 species